CUAAUCUAACAUGUGCAUACCUUGUAACUUAGGGUGCGAUGGGUAUGCUAGGACCGCUGGGCAUGAUGCAGAAGCAGGGGAGUGCCCAACACCUGGUGAGCAGAGCCGAUCCCAAGACGUGGCACUCCCUUGACCUUGAUCCCCAUAACAUGAGACCACCACCUUUUAAAACCCAAAGGUCGUCCUCGAUGCCCACACCAAAGGGUGACAUGUCCCCUCCGGACAAAGACCGCAGCACCAGGGUCUCUGUCAGCAACGAAAACAAUAUCCUCUUGGACCGGAGGUGCUGACAGAGUUCUCAACCCAAGCCCUCGUCCUCACCGUCUUGGCCACACUAGUGAAGUACACCACGGACGAGAAUGAGAUGAGAGUGCUGUACGAAUACCUGGCUGAGGCUUCAGUCGUCUUCCCCAAGGUCUUCCCUGUCAUCCACUCCCUUCUGGAUGCCAAGAUCACCUCGGUGCUGUCCUUGUGUCAUGAUGGUGUGAUCCUGAGUGCUGUUCAGUCUAUAAUUCAGAAUAUGGUAGCUUGUGAGGACCAAGGACACCAACAACUGCAUGCUCUUCAAAG